AGGUAAUUCUUGUAUGUGCUAUUGACAACUCUGUACAGAAAAAGAAAAUAACUCAAGAACACUGGAGAGUUAAGUACCUCAAAAUGUGACCCAAAAAAGCCAGCAUGCUGAACAGAUGCAGUUCCAGGUCCCAUUUUUAAAGUACAUUUUAUCUGCUAAAGAGAUAAGCCCAGAUUUGUAUUUGCAUGGAUUAGCAGUCAGCAAGGGAUCUGGGUUCUGAUUUUUAUGACAUGUUCCUUUCACUACUGCAAAGCUUUUUCAUGGGGUCUUCCCAUAUGACUUGCUGUACAGGGAGUAACAGACAUGGUGCAAAAUACCCCUGCCAAAUGCUCCACAUGCUUUAACAAAGGUGAAUAAAAGAUGUGCUGAGUGAUUUGGAAGGAAAAUGUUUAUUGCUGAACAAUGGUCCAUAAAACAAAGUGUAAAAAUAGAUUUUUUUUGUCUCUGUCUUAUCCCCCAAUAUUACUGCAUUAAAAAAGGCUUCUUGGCUUUGCUGUGAGAGAGGUGAUUUAAUGAACCAUGGAGUGAGAUGUAAAUGAAUAACAGUGAUCUCAUGCUGACUAUAAAGAGCUGAUGUACAUGUUGAUGAAAUAUUGACACAAAUAAAAC